rnacentral:rRNA from 1 species
GUUCAUAGCUCACCCAGAACGCAACCGGUCUCAUCCAAUCUGGGAAGCUAAGCAGACUUGAGCCUGGAAACGUACUUGAAUGGGCGAAUAACCAGCAUGGCAGGCGUUAUUAAAU